AGCAAGGUCCCCGGUUCGUCACAUAUUUAUAUAAAUAGCACAGCCGGGUCCAGUAUUGCACUUCUCCGCUAUAGAUUCUUUCACAAGCCAGGACAUCUGCUCACCAGUUUAUCUGGGACAUAAGCUGUGAUUAGGUUUAAAGAGAAUCUGUCACAAUGCAGGCACAUGAGUUAUUUAGAAACCUGAGGAUUCCUGAGCUAGGAGACGUUCGUGAAUAUGUGCGGACUCUUCCUACUAACACGUUGAUGGGCUUUGGGGCGUUUGCUGCUCUGACAACUUAUUGGUACGCUACAAGACCCAAGGCUCUGAAAGCUCCUUGUGAUCUGGCAAUGCAGUCUGUGCAAGUACAGGGAGACGAACAUGCUCGCAGGUCAACACUUUUGGACAGUGAUGAGGUGAUGACAUAUUACUAUGAUGAUGUUCGAACUAUCUAUGACAUUUUUCAAAGGGGGAUUAAAGUAUCAAAUAAUGGACCUUGUUUAGGACACCGGAAACCAAAUCAACCAUAUGAAUGGAUUUCUUAUCAAGAGGUAUCGGACCGAGCAGAGUUUGUGGGGUCAGCCCUGCUACACAGAGGAUUCAAACGAUCCUCAGAGCAGUUUGUAGGGAUCUUUGCCCAAAACCGACCUGAGUGGGUGAUAGCAGAACUUGCUUGCUAUACAUACUCCAUGGUGUCUGUGCCACUGUAUGACACAUUGGGAGCUGAAGCUAUAACGUACAUCAUAAACAAAGGUGAUAUCUCUUUAGUGUUUUGCGAUGUUCCAGAAAAGGCAAAAUUAUUGCUAUCCAAUGUUGAAAAAGGCGAAACACCUGUCCUCAAGACCAUUGUGCUUAUGGAGCCAUUUGAUGAUGAUCUUGUAGAACGAAGCAAGAAGUGUGGAGUGGAACUAAUCAGCUUAAAAGAAAUAGAAGAUGCGGGAAAGGCAAACAGAGAGAAACCAAAGCCUCCAAAACCAGAAGACCUGGCUGUUGUUUGCUUUACUAGUGGGACAACAGGAAAUCCAAAAGGUGCAAUGCUUACACAUAAAAACAUUGUGAGCAACAGCGGAGCUUUUCUUAAAGUAACAGAGAGCAUGAUUACUCUGAAUUCCAGCGACAUACACAUUUCCUAUUUGCCUUUGGCACACAUGUUUGAAAGACUGGUCCAGUGUGUAGUCCUUUGUCAUGGUGCUAGAAUAGGAUUUUUCCAAGGUGACAUCCGAUUGCUAAUGGACGAUCUUCAAGUCUUGCAACCGACUAUUUUUCCAGUGGUGCCCCGUUUGCUAAAUAGGAUGUUUGAUCGGAUUUUUGGACAAGCCAAUACCCCGAUGAAGCGAUGGAUGUUGGAUUUUGCAUCUAAAAGAAAAGAAGCUGAACUCCGCAGUGGUAUUAUCAGAAACAAUAGUUUCUGGGACAAAAUUAUUUUCCACAAAGUUCAGGCUAGCCUUGGUGGAAAGGUACGACUAAUGAUAACAGGAGCAGCACCAGUUUCACCUACUGUGUUAACCUUCUUGCGAGCAGCACUUGGCUGUCAGUUCUAUGAAGGAUAUGGACAAACUGAAUGCACCGCUGGGUGUUCACUAACUAUUCCUGGAGACUGGACAGCGGGUCAUGUGGGUGCACCAAUGCCUUGUAAUCAUCUCAAACUGGUCGAUGUGGAGGAAAUGAACUAUUUUGCAGCAAAUGGAGAGGGUGAAGUUUGUGUCAAAGGGUCAAAUGUUUUUCAAGGAUAUUUAAAGGAUGAGGAGAAAACUACAGAAGCUUUGGACAAGGAUGGCUGGUUACAUACCGGAGACGUUGGGAAAUGGCUUCCUAAUGGUACCUUGAAAAUUAUUGACCGAAAAAAACACAUAUUUAAACUGGCACAAGGGGAAUACAUUGCACCAGAAAGAAUUGAAAAUAUUUACACAAGGAGUGAACCUGUUGUUCAAGUUUUUGUGCAUGGUGAAAGCUUACAGGCAUUUUUAGUUGGCAUAGUUGUAUUAGAUCCAGACAAUGUGCUUAAAUGGGCAAAGAAGAAGAAAUUUGAUUGUUCCUAUGAAGACUUGUGUAAAAAUAAGGACUUUAAAAAUGUAGUCCUAGAAGAUUUCUUGAGACUUGGAAAAGAAGCUGGUUUGAAAACCUUUGAACAAGUGAAAGAUAUUGCCUUGUAUCCAGAAAUGUUUUCCAUAGAAAAUGGCCUUUUAACACCUACAAUGAAAGCCAAGAGACCAGAGUUGAGAAAAUUCUUCAAGAGUCAAAUUGACGAACUGUAUGCCAAUAAUCACUUAUAACCGAAGAGCAGAAAUGUAUGAAGAAUUCCCAGGUUUAACUGGUCAUCGAUUAGCUCUCAAUUCACAACUGCAAACACAUUUAUACUGGUCAUAGGAAUAGCAAGAUCUGAAAUGCCUUAUUGGUCACCUUUCUUGUAACCAAUGUGACCUGGUGUCUCCAAAGUAGGUCUUAAAUUGAGAAGGACAUCUAGAUUUUAUUGGACAUCUUUGACUUUCCUUAUACAAAUGAAAAUCUCUGCAAUCUUAACAUAUUUUUCUAUCCCUAAUUUUAUGCUCCUUUCUGAUGUCAGCAUUUGUUACGCAGCCCAUGAUUGUAAUUAAUUUAAAUAAGAUGUAUGCGUGAAAAAAGUGGUGUAAAACUGUGAAAUGUUUUGGAAUAAGAGCAUAAGAACUGAAUGUAAUUUUUUGCUGUUUAAUACUGAAUGUAUAAUAAACUUCUUAAAAAAUAAACAAAAAUACAUAUAAAAAACACUUUUCAAAACAUUAAGAAAACCAGAUUUUUUUUUAUUUUUUUUUACCAAUCAAAUUUCACUGUUACCAGCUUGCAUAUACACAAAGCAAAUUAUGCUAGUAAGAACACUGAAAAUAGACAGCAACUGUUAAUACUUUCAAAUAACAUUCAUGCCAAAUAAUUAUACUUUUUAAAAUGGCACUAAUAGAUUACAAGUAUUUGUUAGAACUGAAAGCCACAAGGGAGGAAUUAGUUAAAAUCAAGCACAAAACUGUUUGCACUAUGUAAUUAUGAUGCACUGCAGCCUAGGGUAAUUAUCAUUUAUAUUAUUGCACAAAAUGCAGCAUGACCUUUUUAUCCAAAUUGUGUGGUAACUUCAAAGUUUGCCUAAAGCGUGGAUCUUGUACAAACCAAAAAAGUUCCCUUCUCUACUUCCAAAAACAUGAAGGAAACCAAAAUAAAUCAAUUUUCAUUUGAA